ACUCACUCCUUCAUGUCCAUUUCAUGUGGUUUAUUUCCUGCCAAUCUUCCCUGUGAAUGCCUUCCACAUUGUGGCCAUUGCUCAGUUCGCAGGAGAUCUUUGCUGGCAACUUCCGCAGUGGGGCAAGGGGUACCUUUCAGUCCCUGAGAUCGUUGUGACUGUGGUCACAGGAAGGAACGAGACUUGGCAAGGUUGGAUGCUGGGGUCACAGGUGUCCCCUCAACACUCGGAAGCUGCUGGUCCGCUGUGACUGAUCUAUCUUGCUGCAAGAGACGUGUAAUGCCUGUCACUUGAAAAGGGUCCUGACCCACCCACCAUGACAAGCAAUUAUUUUUCUGGACAGCUUCCUGAUGUCCCCAAGGAGAGAGAGAGCGUGGCAGCCAGUGAGGGAAAGCAUGCCACAGGUUCUGCCUGCUAACCUGGCAGGAGGGUGCUCGCGACACUUAAUUUAUCAAUGCUUGUUUUCCCUGCUGGAGCCGAGUACACAGGGUCGCUUCGCCAACAGAGAAGGAGGAAGGGGAAGCCAUUCUUCACCUUCUUCAGCAAUGUAUUUUUGUUUUGGUCAAUUUCCCAAAUAAAUUAUGGUCUUGUCUCAUUGCCACA